AUGGGGUUACCCCCCCCCCCCCCCCAUCCACCACCCUCUGUCUCUACCACUGGGAUCAACCUUCUGGUCCAGAGUCAUGGGGUUACCCCCCCCCCCAUCCACCACCCUCUGCCUCUACCACUGGGAUCAACCUUCUGGUCCAGAGUCAUGGGGUUACCCCCCCCCCCAUCCACCACCCUCUGCCUCUACCACUGGGAUCAACCUUCUGGUCCAGAGUCAUGGGGUUACCCCCCCCCCCCAUCCACCACCCUCUGCCUCUACCACUGGGAUCAACCUUCUGGUCCAGAGUCAUGGGGUUACCCCCCCCCCCCAUCCACCACCCUCUGUCUCUACCACUGGGAUCAACCUUCUGGUCCAGAGUCAUGGGGUUACCCCCCCCCCCCCCCAUCCACCACCCUCUGCCUCUACCACUGGGAUCAACCUUCUGGUCCAGAGUCAUGGGGUUACCCCCCCCCCCCAUCCACCACCCUCUGUCUCUACUACUGGGAUCAACCUUCUGGUCCAGAGUCAUGGGGUUACCCCCCCCCCCCCAUCCACCACCCUCUGUCUCUACCACUGGGAUCAACCUUCUGGUCCAGAGUCAUGGGGUUACCCCCCCCCCCCCCCCCCCAUCCACCACCCUCUGUCUCUACCACUGGGAUCAACCUUCUGGUCCAGAGUCAUGGGGUUACCCCCCCCCCCCAUCCACCACCCUCUGUCUCUACCACUGGGAUCAACCUUCUGGUCCAGAGUCAUGGGGUUACCCCCCCCCCCCCCAUCCACCACCCUCUGUCUCUAUCACUGGGAUCAACCUUCUGGUCCAGAGUCAUGGGGUUACCCCCCCCCCCCCCCAUCCACCACCCUCUGCCUCUACCACUGGGAUCAACCUUCUGGUCCAGAGUCAUGGGGUUACCCCCCCCCCCCCCAUCCACCACCCUCUGUCUCUACUACUGGGAUCAACCUUCUGGUCCAGAGUCAUGGGGUUACCCCCCCCCCCCCCAUCCACCACCCUCUGUCUCUACCACUGGGAUCAACCUUCUGGUCCAGAGUCAUGGGGUUACCCCCCCCCCCCCCCCAUCCACCACCCUCUGUCUCUAUCUCUGGGAUCAACAUUCUGGUCCAGAGUCAUGGGGUUACCCCCCCCAAUCACCCAUCACCCUCUGUCUCUACCACUGGGAUCAAACUUCUGGUCCAGAGUCAUGGGGUUACUCCCCAAUCCACCACCCUCUGUCUCUACCACUGGGAUCAACCUUCUGGUCCAGAGUCAUGGGGUUACCCCCCCCCCCCAUCCACCACCCUCUGCCUCUACCACUGGGAUCAACCUUCUGGUCCAGAGUCAUGGGGUUACCCCCCCCCCCAUCCACCACCCUCUGCCUCUACCACUGGGAUCAACCUUCUGGUCCAGAGUCAUGGGGUUACCCCCCCCCCCAUCCACCACCCUCUGCCUCUACCACUGGGAUCAACCUUCUGGUCCAGAGUCAUGGGGUUACCCCCCCCCCCCAUCCACCACCCUCUGUCUCUACCACUGGGAUCAACCUUCUGGUCCAGAGUCAUGGGGUUACCCCCCCCCCCCCAUCCACCACCCUCUGUCUCUACUACUGGGAUCAACCUUCUGGUCCAGAGUCAUGGGGUUACCCCCCCCCCCCCAUCCACCACCCUCUGUCUCUACCACUGGGAUCAACCUUCUGGUCCAGAGUCAUGGGGUUACCCCCCCCCCCCCCCCCCCCCCAUCCACCACCCUCUGUCUCUACCACUGGGAUCAACCUUCUGGUCCAGAGUCAUGGGGUUACCCCCCCCCCCCCAUCCACCACCCUCUGUCUCUACCACUGGGAUCAACCUUCUGGUCCAGAGUCAUGGGGUUACCCCCCCCCCCAUCCACCACCCUCUGUCUCUAUCACUGGGAUCAACAUUCUGGUCCAGAGUCAUGGGGUUACCCCCCCCCCCCAUCACCCUCUGUCUCUACCACUGGGAUCAACCUACUGGUCCAGAGUCAUGGGGUUACCCCCCCCCCCCAUCCACCACCCUCUGUCUCUACCACUGGGAUCAACCUUCUGGUCCAGAGUCAUGGGGUUACCCCCCCCCCCCCAUCCACCACCCUCUGUCUCUACCACUGGGAUCAACCUUCUGGUCCAGAGUCAUGGGGUUACCCCCCCACCACCCUCUGUCUCUACCACUGGGAUCAACCUUCUGGUCCAGAGUCAUGGGGUUACCCCCCCCCCCCAUCCACCACCCUCUGUCUCUACU
rnacentral:lncRNA from 1 species